CCUACGGGAGGCAGCAGUGGGGAAUAUUGCACAAUGGGGGAAACCCUGAUGCAGCGACGCCGCGUGAGUGAAGAAGUAAUUCGUUACGUAAAGCUCUAUCAGCAGGGAAGAAACACUGACCUUACGGUCAGCAGACGGUACCUGAGUAAGAAGCCCCGGCUAACUACGUGCCAGCAGCCGCGGUAAUACGUAGGGGGCAAGCGUUAUCCGGAUUUACUGGGGGUAAAGAGUUGCGUAGGUGGCAUAAUAAGUAGCUAGGGAAAUCUGGUGGCUCAACCAUUCAGACUAUUAGCUAAACUGUUAAGCUCGAGACCGUUAGGGGUAACUGGAAUUUCUAGUGUAGGAGUGAAAUCCGUAGAUAUUAGAAGGAACACCAAUAGCGUAGGCAGGUUACUGGGACGGUUCUGACACUAAGGCACGAAAGCGUAGGGAGCAAACGGGAUUAGAUACCCGUGUAGUC
rnacentral:rRNA from 1 species